rnacentral:rRNA from 1 species
AAUCCCAUAAACCGUGGCUCAGUUCAGAUCGUAGGCUGCAACUCGCCUACGUGAAGGAGGAAUCGCUAGUAAUCGCAGGUCAGCAUACUGCGGUGAAUACGUUCCCGGGCCUUGUACACACCGCCCGUCACACCAUGGAAGUUGGCCACGCCCGAAGCCGUUACUCCAACCCUCGGGAGGAGGACGUCGAAGGUGGGGCUGAUGACUGGGGUGAAGUCGUAACAAGGUAUCCGUACCGGAAGGUGCGGAUGGAUCACCUCCUAA